UACGUAGGGAGCAAGCGUUGUCCGGAAUCAUUGGGCGUAAAGCGCGCGUAGGUGGCCCCAUAAGUCCGCUGUGAAAGUCAAAGGCUCAACCUUUGAAAGCCGGUGGAUACUGUGGGACUAGAGUACGGAAGAGGCGAGUGGAAUUCCUGGUGUAGCGGUGGAAUGCGCAGAUAUCAGGAGGAACACCAAUAGCGAAGGCAGCUCGCUGGGACGUUACUGACGCUGAGAAGCGAAAGCAUGGGGAGCGAACAGG
rnacentral:rRNA from 1 species